GCCCAGUCACGGCUCUCCGCAGGCCGGCCCACGCGUGGGUCAGCCCAGCCCAUUCCGUUCCCUCCGGCGGCCCGCGGAAGCAGAAAGAGAAGUAGCCAAGCAUAAAACGCAUAGCUUCUGCUGAACAAGAGCAGUAGCAGACUACAAGGAAAGAGACAAUGUCUUCUGAAACAGUCCAACAGGGAAGUCAGACACCUCCAGUUAAGCAACCUGGAUGGCCAAUGUUAUUUUGUCCCAUCUCCCAAAUUCAAGACAAAGAGAUUGCAAAGAUCAGUAGAGAAUGCAAACAGGAAAGUUUCUGGUACAGAGCUCUUCCUUUAUCUCUUGGGAGCAUGCUUGUCACCCAGGGGCUAAUCUCAAAAGGCAUUUUCUCAGCAAGCCCAAGAUUUGGUCCAUAUCCCAAGAUGGCAUUUGCAGGUAUCUUGGGUUUUGCCCUUGGAAAGAUGUCAUACAUGGGGGAAUGCCAAAAAAAGUUUCAGAAAAUUGGUAUUGCACCAUUUGGUCCACAACAAAAAAGGCAGUGUCAUCAUGCUUGCAAAGAAUGUAAAGCAAAACUGGGAUCGAAUGAGAAAGAAGGUUCAAUUCCUUCAGCAUCUUAGUCCCAGUGCAUGCCCACAGACAAUCUGCAAGGAGGAAUAUCCUAUCAGAACCUGUUUACUUGCCCAGAAGAGAGAUAUUGAUGGACUUUUACUAUGCAACAAUACAUUGUGGCAGUGAGGAUUGAAGAGUUUUCGGAGUCCUUAAAGAAGCCAUUAGAAUAAAGUCCUGAUUUUAAUCAACUUUGCCACUGGUUCGGCAUUUUAUAUCAAGUGCUGCAAGUGCUCAGCCACCAGGAGAAAAUGCACUUUGGCUUAGGCUCACCUAAUAGGGUUGUGCCAAAAGAAGCAGUGCUUCUCUUGUGCCAGCUAUAGAGAUCAUGAAGUGAGCUCGCCCUCCAGACCAGCUCUCUGCUCUUGUUUGGUAUGAGGACACGGGUAAAAAAAUCCCCCAAAGCUUUCUGAAGGGUUUCUCGCUGGUGCCAGCAUGAAGGAGGGAGUGAGACAGACUGAGAUAACUCUGAAUAAAUAACACUCUAAAUCCAUUAGCACCUAGAAGCUUAAUUAACAUCUUGCAAUACUGUGCUGAUUAACUGCUUUUGAAGAUUUUGUCUUAAAUAAAUGCUUUUGUAGGCUCACUUAUUUCAAAUAAGGACCCCAAAGCAUAUUUAACUGAGAAUGGUCACUCACUAGCAAUUAUCUGUGUAGGGGAAUCAAAUAUUUAUUGUGGGAUUUACCCUAUUGUUUGUCAGAGCUGCAGCUUGCUGAACCUUCAAUCCAAAUAAAUUUUAUUUUUCAGCCUUCCUCUGUCAGCUGACAAUAUUUUUUCAGGUGUGUACCUGAAGUACCAAUUAGCUUUUAAAUAAAUUCCAGGUUGUCUCAAAUACAAAGGAGCCUUGCAGCUUUUUGAGGAGAAGAACACAGAAUGCCACAGGCCCCUCUCCUCAUUUUUUCCUGUAAUGGAUCCUGAAAUUUCUGCUGUGGAACCUGUUCCCUCCUCCAGCUCACAUGUUCAUCAAAGACCUUGAUUGCUGCACAUUUUACCAGCAGCUUAGGUCUUCUUGUUUGGUUUUUAAAAGGGCUUGAAAGCUUAGUCAGAAACUUAUGUAAGGUAUGUGUAGUUCUUUCAAGUUUUAAUUGCUGUAAUGAAAAAGCCACUAUGUUUGGGCUAGUGUGGUCUUUUGAAUUUGCUGGAAAUCAAAUUUGAUGGACAAGUUUUAGAAACUUGGGAAAAGAAGUACUGUGUCCUGGAGUGACUUUAUGAUGCUUGUAUCCCCAAUCCUCUGUUCUGUUUGUGUUGGAUAUUGUGUUCUGUACCUUUAAGACUGGUUCUGAGAGCGAAGGGGGACAAGAAGAAGCGCGGAGUUUGUUUGCAGAAACUGCCCUCACUCCUACACAUUCCACAUUCCACUCCUGGACUGUAUCAUCUGAGGCACGGACAGACAGUGGGACAGAGACCUCCUUUGCUUUAGUUUUUAGCUAGUUGAGGCAGAGAAGUUCCCUGGACUGUUUUAUUCUUUUUUUGGGGACUGUUCAAACCUGCUCUGGACUGAAAACCCAGAAGAGCACCAGGAGCUCACACCUGCAGCCCACCGGGGCCUGGACUUGGGCAUUUUCCAGCACCAGAAGGAGUGAUAAGAGACUGAGUGAGCCGAGCUACACCUGCAAGGACGUUCUGAGUUUGCCAUCUCACCUCAGAGCUACGAGAGCUUUUGUUAUUUCAUAUUAUUCAUCUUUCGUGCUUGUGGGCACUUUGUUAAAUAAAGUUUUUUUCCACUUUUCUCUAAGGAGAUUUUUUCCCGGACUGAUUGGGGGAGGCCUAUUUGGGUUUGCUUCCCAGAGGGAUGCUAUUCAGAGGUUUCCUCCCGAAUCUGCCCCAAACCAGGACAUACUAUGUGGUGAACGUGAUAAAAACCUUACAGACCAACUUCUUUCAAGGCACUUUCCUGUAGACUAGAAAUAAUAAUUUUGUGAUCCUGUCUUUUAGAUUUGCUAUAAAUUCACUUAUUUGAAAUAGUUGUAUAUUGUUACUUAGUUCUGUUUGUACUACCUACCUGUUUUUUGAAAUGCAAUUUUUGAAAUACACUCCUCUCUUUCCAGCACGUGUUGGUUUAUUUUCCUCUCUUCAAUGCAAUUUAGCUCUUAGUGUUGAAAAAUUACAUUUGUCUAGUGCAUCUAGAUGCUGGAAAUACUUUGGGUAACAAAGUGGUUUAUGUUGGAACGUUUGUCUAUGUCAAACGGAAAGGGUUAUGAGGAUGUUUAAAUAGUUUAGUUGAGGUGUUAAGGCAUGAGUUGGACUCAAUAAUCUUGAAGGUCUCUUCCAGCCUAGUGAUUCUGUGAAUUCUGGGAAAUGGUUUGCACAGUGAAGCAGCUGUUCAGUCUCUGAGCUCAGCCCUUGGUUCUGGAGUACUUUAAGAGUACCAAAUUCAGAGUAUUGUCAGACUGCGGUUACUGUGCUGAACCAACUUCCUAUAAGCCAGUUUCACACAAAGGUCCGCUUUGCCAGGGAUAUUCAAAAGCAUGUGAACAAGAACACACAGUAUUUUGGAACAGUUUAUGGUUGCACAAAAUCUCAGGCCACCAGAUGCUGAAAAAAACCCAAACCUAGAUAGCACAUGCUCUCUACAAACAGCAGGACACACAGUCUUCCAUGAAACAUCUCAGGACAUCAAAAGCAGGCACUUCCCCUAAACACAGUGAUGGCUUUCCCAUGGAAAUAAAUGUGCAGCUACUGAAAAGUUUGGGCUUUGCUGUCAGUUGAUGAAGACACUUUUCUGUGGGCUUUUUCUGUUUGCUUUUAUACUAUGCCUUUGGUUAGUGCCCCUCUUUUGAAUUAGCUUCUAUGGACAUCUUUACCUGGCCCCAAAGAAAUUCUGUAAGCAAAAUAUAUAGGGUGGAAGAGUGUAAUGUAACUACUAAUUGGUUAGUAAACACAAAAGACAUUCUGGAUUUGACAAAGUGAUUAGAUUGAAUACUUAGUUCUCUGAUAAAGCACUUGGAUGGCCUUUCCUAGCCAAGCAACCGCCAGGCAGAAGGGGAAGGGUUAGACUGACUAGCCUCUCUGUUCUGUUUUUUACUAUAAAAUUUUAUACUUUUAUACUUGAUGUUUAGCCUCUUGAAUUCUUGAGCCACUAUGAACCCCUGUCUCAACAGGGGCUUCAGUUUUACAGUUGCUACUUUUCUACAGUAUUUUUCCACAGUGCUUUUAGUUGGAAUCAGGGAUACACAGGAGUGCUGUGUCACAGCUGCUGCUGUGUACAGGCAGGUGAGCCUUGGGGAGCCUUCUACAGGGGCUCCAGGGAGAGGGAGUUACACAACCACAGAGAAGGCGACCUCCGUUGUGAAAAUCAUGUAAUUGUCAUGGGGGUACUGUGAUGGCCAUCAAAACUUGCAUGGUGACAUGUCUGAGCUACUUCCCCUUCAUCUGCUGUCAAGAUAACCACCAGAAGCUGCACCAAGGUUCGUGCCUGGGUUAUCUGAGGGAAGCCAUUACGUGCAGGUGAUGCCAAGGAGAGUGACGUGUGGGACAGAGGACCUUGCAUGUCAGACUCUCAGAGGUUGUUCUUGUGGCCAGCGUUACCUCUUGUGAUUAAAACUUAGCUACUGAACUUUGCUUUAAAUGUAAUUUUGGUUUUUACUUUUGAUUAUUUUUCUGUAAUAAAUAUACUGAUGUAUAAAA